UACGUAGGUGGCAAGCGUUGUCCGGAAUUAUUGGGCGUAAAGCGCACGUAGGCGGCUUGGCAAGUCGGAUGUGAAAUCCCUCGGCUCAACCAAGGAAGUGCAUCCGAAACUGCCGAGCUUGAGUACUUAAGAGGAUCGCGGAAUUCCCGGUGUAGAGGUGAAAUUCGUAGAUAUCGGGAGGAACAUCAGUGGCGAAGGCGGCGAUCUGGGAAGUUACUGACGCUGAGGUGCGAAAGCGUGGGGAGCAAACAGG
rnacentral:rRNA from 1 species